rnacentral:rRNA from 1 species
CCUACGGGAGGCAGCAGUGGGGAAUAUUGCACAAUGGGGGAAACCCUGAUGCAGCGACGCCGCGUGAGUGAAGAAGUAAUUCGUUAUGUAAAGCUCUAUCAGCCGGGAAGAAAAUGACGGUACCUGAGUAAGAAGCACCGGCUAACUACGUGACAGCAGCCGCGAUAAUACGUAGGGGGCAAGCGUUAUCCGGAUUUACUGGGUGUAAAGGGAGCGUAGACGGCAGUGCAAGUCUGGAGUGAAAGGCGGGGGGUCAACCCCCGGACUGCUCUGGAAACUGUACGGCUGGAGUGCAGGAGAGGUAAGUGGAAUUCCUAGUGUAGCGGUGAAAUGCGUAGAUAUUAGGAGGAACACCAGUGGCGAAGGCGGCUUACUGGACUGUAACUGACGUUGAGGCUCGAAAGCGUGGGGAGCAAACAGGAUUAGAUACCCCAGUAGUC